AUUGAACGCUGGCGGCAGGCCUAACACAUGCAAGUCGAGCGAGCGGCGGACGGGUGAGUAAUGUAUGGGGACUGCCCGAUAGAGGGGGAUAACUACUGGAAACGGUAGCUAAUACCGCAUACUAUCGGAUAACCCAUAUGGGAUUAGCUAGUAGGUGGGGUAAAGGCUCACCUAGGCGACGAUCUCUAGCUGGUCUGAGAGGAUGAUCAGAAACACUGGGACUGAGACACGGCCCAGACCCCUACGGAGGCAGGAGUUGGGAACAUUGCACAAUGGGCGCAAGCCUGAUGAAGCCAUGCCGCGUGUAUGAAGAAGGCCUUAGGGUUGUAAAGUACUUUCAGUGGAGAAGCGUUAGCCACAGAAGAAGCACCGGAUAACUACGUGCCAGCAGCCGAGGUAAUAC
rnacentral:rRNA from 1 species